rnacentral:rRNA from 1 species
GACGGGGGGGGCAAGUGUUCUUCGGAAUGACUGGGCGUAAAGGGCGCGUAGGCGGCUCGCUAAGUCGGAUGUGAAAACUCUGGGCUCAACCCAGAGCCUGCAUUCGAAACUGACGAGCUGGAGUUCUGGAGGGGAAAGCGGAAUUCCUGGUGUAGCGGUGAAAUGCGUAGAUAUCAGGAGGAACACCGGUGGCGAAGGCGGCUUUCUGGACAGAAACUGACGCUGAUGCGCGAAAGCUAGGGGAGCAAACAGG